rnacentral:lncRNA from 1 species
AACAAAAUCUCAAAUCUGUUGUCUUAAAAUGACUAAAAACCCUUUACUGGAUUUAUUGCACCUGCAAACAGCUCCUCCCAAACACAGAGUUCACUUUACUUUGAGCUUUUCAUGGAUCUCAAGUUACUGCACAGUAAAGACACUCAUGUGAACCAGUCACUUUGGAUCUUUUUCAGAAGGCAUAAGGAAGCCUGCACACCUGGCACAAAAUUCAGACUUCCCAUCUAUUGACCUUGGAACCUUAGAAUCUAUUCCAUACCAUGCUUUUUAAAGAGCCCAGAUCUGUUACUGGUUCUAGCUUCUACCCUUGAGCCAGGAGGCCAGGUGACAGAUGGUAAUGCAGGCUGAGGUUUCCCUGAACUCCUUUUUCCUGUGUCUUUGCCACAUUUGAAAUUGCAUUUCCAUGCCCUUCAUGCACAUGUUCCCUGUAUUUUGGGGUAUAACUUCAUGCUGAUGGCAGUAGCAAAAUGUCAGCAUCUUUUUAAGGUUUUCUUGUUUUCUCUUACUGUACAUAUCAAUUAGGUUUCUUUGAAAAGAGGAUACCUGCACAAAAAGCAAUUUUUGCUCCUUGUGAUAUUCUACAUUGCACUAUAUAUUGCUGAAGUUAUUGGUGUCUGAAUAGCAUUGUUCUCCCUCAUUACCCCACAUCUCAGCCUGGUGGUGUGAUGAAUUC